rnacentral:misc_RNA from 1 species
CCAAUAGCGUAUAUUUAAGUUGUUGCAGUUAAAAAGCUCGUAGUUGAAUUUCGGGAUUAGUACGCUGGUCGUGCCUUCGGUAUGUACUGGUGUUACUGGUUCCUACCUUCUGACGAACCGUCAUGUCAUUAAUUUGGUGUGGCGGGAAAUCAGGACUGUUACUUUGAAAAAAUUAGAGUGUUUAAAGCAGGCUCGCGCUUGAAUACAUUAGCAUGGAAUAAUGAAAUAGGACGUUCGAUCCUAUUUUGUUGGUUUCUAGGAUUGACGUAAUGAUUAAUAGGGAUAGUUGGGGGCAUUAGUAUUCAAUUGUCAGAGGUGAAAUUCUUGGAUUUAUUGAAGACUAACUACUGCGAAAGCAUUUGCCAAGGAUGUUUUCAUUAAUCAAGAACGAAAGUUAGGGGAUCGAAGACGAUCAGAUACCGUCGUAGUCUUAACCAUAAACUAUGCCGACUAGGGAUCGGAUGAUGUUAAUUUUUUAAUGACUCAUUCGGCGCCUUACG